GGGCCCGUAGCUCAACGGCAGAGCAGCUCCCUCAUAAGGAGUGGGUUGAUGGUUCGAUCCCAUCCGGGCCCA
rfam:Chloroflexi bacterium RBG_16_64_43 RBG_16_scaffold_23828, whole genome shotgun sequence.